rnacentral:rRNA from 1 species
AUUGAACGCUGGCGGCAUGCCUUACACAUGCAAGUCGAACGGCAGCACGGGUGCUUGCACCUGGUGGCGAGUGGCGAACGGGUGAGUAAUACAUCGGAACGUACCUUAUCGUGGGGGAUAACGCAGCGAAAGUAGCGCUAAUACCGCAUACGCCCUGAGGGGGAAAGCGGGGGACCGUAAGGCCUCGCGCGAUUAGAGCGGCCGAUGUCUGAUUAGCUUGUUGGUGAGGUAAAAGCUCACCAAGGCGAUGAUCAGUAGCUGGUCUGAGAGGACAAUCAGCCACACUGGGACUGAGACACGGCCCAGACUCCUACGGGAGGCAGCAGUGGGGAAGUUUGGACAAUGGGGGCAACCCUGAUCCAGCAAUGCCGCGUGAGUGAAGAAGGCCUUCGGGUUGUAAAGCUCUUUUGUCAGGGAAGAAACAGCAGCUCUAACACAGUCUGCGAAUGACGGUACCGGCAUAAGAAGCACCGGCUAACUACGUGCCAGCAGCCGCCGUAA